rnacentral:misc_RNA from 1 species
GAUGAAGAACGCAGCGAAAUGCGAUAAGUAAUGUGAAUUGCAGAAUUCAGUGAAUCAUCGAAUCUUUGAACACACAUUGCGCCCCUCGGUAUUCCGAGGGGCAUGCCUGUUCGAGCGUCAUUAUAACCCUUCAAGCUCAGCUUGGUGUUGGGGCCUGCUGUAACUGGUAGCCCUUAAAAUCAGUGGCAGUGCUAUUAGGCUCUAAGCGUAGUAAUUCUUCUCGCUAUAGUGUGUAGUGAGCGCUUGCCAGAACCCCAAACUUUUAUAUGAUUGACCUCGGAUCAGGUAGGGAUACCCGCUGAACUUAAGCAUAUCAAUAAGCGGAGGA